GCCCAGGUGGCGGAACGGUAUACGCGCAACACUUAAAAUGUUGUGACCUAACGGUCUUGUGGGUUCGAAUCCCGCCCUGGGCA
rnacentral:tRNA from 1 species